GCCUCUGUGGAUCAUGGUACCUGAUCGCCUUGAUUUGACGGGAAACAUUCGAAGGCUAAUGUAAAAUUCAUCGAGAAGAUGGAGGUUCGAUUCCUCCCAGAGGCA